rnacentral:ribozyme from 1 species
UGCCCAGCAACUCCUAUCCCUACCUCCUCGUGGUACUGGCCGGGGUACGAGUAACCUUGGGGAAGAUCCGGUAACCAACCCCCGGUGGGAACUUUGGUCGUAUGCUGACAGGGAAGG